ensembl:misc_RNA 7SK 7SK RNA
GUAUUCUGGUGGUAAUAUUUUUCUUCCCAUUUACACCCAGAGCUGAUUGGAUUAUUAAGGUUUAUUAGGAAGGUGUUUUUUAAUACACUGUCAAUCCAGGUCCCCAAAGCUGCAAAGUCAGGUGAACAGGACAACCUUCCUUGAUAGGAAUGGAAUGUUUGUUACUCAUGAUCUUAAGAAUAGCUGUGCGCUCCUUAUAGAAUUUCCAAAGACAGUUACAAUGACCACUUGUAAGGGGUAUAGGGGAGUCAAACUUGCAAGACUCCAGGCACAUGCAAAUGAAGAAGCCCUGCAAACCCCAACCUGUAUUU